rnacentral:rRNA from 1 species
AUUGAACGCUGGCGGCAGGCUUAACACAUGCAAGUCGAGCGGGGUGAUGGUGCUUGCACUAUCACUUAGCGGCGGACGGGUGAGUAAUGCUUAGGAAUCUGCCUAUUAGUGGGGGACAACAACUCGAAAGGGAUGCUAAUACCGCAUACGUCCUACGGGAGAAAGCAGGGGAUCACUUGUGACCUUGCGCUAAUAGAUGAGCCUAAGUCGGAUUAGCUAGUUGGUGGGGUAAAGGCCUACCAAGGCGACGAUCUGUAGCGGGUCUGAGAGGAUGAUCCGCCACACUGGGACUGAGACACGGCCCAGACUCCUACGGGAGGCAGCAGUGGGGAAUAUUGGACAAUGGGGGGAACCCUGAUCCAGCCAUGCCGCGUGUGUGAAGAAGGCCUUAUGGUUGUAAAGCACUUUAAGCGAGGAGGAGGCUCUCUUGGUUAAUACCCAAGGUGAGUGGACGUUACUCGCAGAAUAAGCACCGGCUAACUCUGUGCCAGCCGCCGCCGUAA